UAGGCGUAAAUGAUGCGAGUUAAGUGUGGGGGCAUCUACGAGAUGGCCCUGUGCUGUAGGGUAGCCGUUAAACUCGCUGCCUGGGGAGUACGGUCGCAAGGCUGAAACUUAAAGGAAUUGGCGGGGGGAGCACCACAACGGGUGGAGCCUGCGGUUUAAUUGGACUCAACGCCGGGAAGCUCACCGGAUAAGACAGCGGAAUGAUUGCCGGGCUGAAGGCCCUGCAUGACCAGCUGAGAGGUGGUGCAUGGCGUCAGUGACU
rnacentral:rRNA from 1 species